rnacentral:lncRNA from 1 species
AAAAAACCCACGGGACCACACGCGAUAAACAAUUCACUAAGAGAAAAGAUUACAAGGUGAUUACCGACUCCACGGACUCUACCUCUCUUAACCUCCUAUGAAUCUCGCGCAAUCCUCCGAGUUGUCCACGCCCUCAUGUUCGAAUCCACGAACGCCUCACACACGUCUGAAUCCACGAACGCCACUCGAAUCCGCGAGCCCACGAUCCGAAUCCACGAACCGCCGUUAAUCACGCCGAAUCCACGACGCCUCCAUGAAGAACAUCAUGUGUAUGGUGAUCCUUCGCUUAGAGUAUCACAGAAAACCAAGGACGACGACUCCAAGCGAAGACCAGAUCAAAUCGACAUAUAGCGAAUGCGAAACGAUACCUCGAUUUGAUCUAAAGAGGCUAAUUUGUAGAAAAUAGGUUUAGAACGAAAUACUAGCCUCUAGGGUUCUUUAAUUGUGUAUUCUUAUGAUAGAUCAUCGAUUAGAGAACCCCUAUAGCUUAUUUAUAGACUUUAGAAUCAAAACGGAGUAGGAUUAGAAAGUUUCUUUCCAUAUUCAGCACCUUGUACCGGUACACGGGAAGCUGUCUAGGGUACAGCAUGACGGAAGAUUUUUCUGCGAAGCUUCUGUACCCUGAACAGACUGCAGCUUGUUCCGGAACAAGGCUUGUACCGGUACAGCCAUGAUGGUUGUACCGGAACAACCAU